rnacentral:tRNA from 2 species
UUUAUUUUGAUUGAGUUAUUAAUGUGAGUUAUUGUUAUUUAAUAAUUAAUAAUAUAAAUUAAUAAUA